UACGGAGGGUGCAAGCGUUAUCCGGAAUCACUGGGUUUAAAGGGUGCGUAGGCGGUCAAGUAAGUCAGAGGUGAAAUGCCGUCGCUUAACGUCGGAAUUGCCUUUGAUACUGCUAGACUUGAAUAAGGAUGAGGUGGGCGGAAUGUGGCAUGUAGCGGUGAAAUGCAUAGAGAUGCCAGAGAACACCAAUUGCGAAGGCAGCUCCCUGGACCUUGAUUGACGCUGAGGCACGAAAGAGUGGGGAUCAAACAGG
rnacentral:rRNA from 1 species